GAAAGGGAGAUGGAAGGAAGAGGAGGAUACCGUUCUUUCUUCUUGAAGGAAGAGAGGCCACCCACCUACCUCUCAACGAACACGCGAAGUCAUUUAUUUUUCGCGGUCACUCCCGCCCUCCCCAUAGUCCCUGACGUCACCUUUUGUACACCGGGGCCCGAAUAAACCGACGGUCUACAGAAGAAGAAGGUUAAUCCCCGCCAUAACAAAUAAAUUACCAGACCGAAAGUAAAUCAAGACGGAUGUUAUCGCGGCCUGCAUAUGUAUCGUUUGAAAAUUGCAGCGCCAAGGUUUUCCGGUCACGACGCCGGUGGAUGACGUGACUUCGACUUCGCUCGUUAAUUACGGUUGCCGUUUCAUUCCCUCGCAUUUCUUAUGCAGAUGCGCGCAGGUUAGCGCGGCUCAUCUCUAAUGGGAUCGUGAAUCGCUCGAAUCAAUAGAACCGAUCAUCAAACGUCAAUAAAGAGAUGCCGUUCGUUAAGACUUUGCUGCACGAUGCUGAACUCGAUUAUUCGCUAACCAGACCAAUUUUGAAGGAACAGCUUAACCUCUGAUUUCAGGAGGUGUCGUGGCGCCAGAGAGCAGAUACAACCGGUCAAAGGCAGAUAGUGUUAGUGCCAGGACGUGCUAGGCAGAGCUAAGCGCCGCCGAUCCGUACCGAGUCCGCGAGACGGGCUAAUGAAUUAAGUGUUUGAGUGGCGUCCUAAUGAUGAAAUCACGAGAAAUAUAACAACAUCCUCCAAGAGGGUACCGCCUUGCCGACCCCGAAUCACCGAAUCACCCACGGAGUCGAGGUUUCAACGAGGAAUCCGGCACGCGAUCUACCCAUGACGUAUUUCACGUGCGAUUUUUUAUUUGAUCGCGCGAUCGAUCUAGAAGCGGAGGUAUAUAUUAGCGCCACGAAAUCCUAAUUUGCGAGAGAGAUCACGAUAUAUGUAUAUUAAGUAUAUUCCACACGCUAUUGUACACAACCAUGCGUAAAUGAUAAUAGUGCAUACUAUAUACGUAAACUAUUUUUGCAUGUAAU